AUUGAACGCUGGCGGCAGGCCUAACACAUGCAAGUCGAGCGGAUGAAGGGAGCUUGCUCCUGGAUUCAGCGGCGGACGGGUGAGUAAUGCCUAGGAAUCUGCCUGGUAGCGGGGGAUAACGUCCGGAAACGGGCGCUAAUACCGCAUACGUCCUGAGGGAGAAAGUGGGGGAUCUUCGGACCUCACGCUAUCAUAUGAGCCUAGGUCGGAUUAGCUAGUUGGUGGGGUAAAGGCCUACCAAGGCGACGAUCCGUAACUGGUCUGAGAGGAUGAUCAGUCACACUGGAACUGAGACACGGUCCAGACUCCUACGGGAGGCAGCAGUGGGGAAUAUUGGACAAAGGGCGAAAGCCUGAUCCAGCCAUGCCGCGUGUGUGAAGAAGGUCUUCGGAUUGUAAAGCACUUUAAGUUGGGAGGAAGGGCAGUAAGUUAAUACCUUGCUGUUUUGACGUUACCAACAGAAUAAGCACCGGCUAACUUCGUG
rnacentral:rRNA from 1 species